rnacentral:rRNA from 1 species
CUACGGGUGGCAGCAGUGGGGAAUAUUGGACAAUGGGCGAAAGCCUGAUCCAGCCAUGCCGCGUGUGUGAAGAAGGCCUUCGGGUUGUAAAGCACUUUCAGUGGGGAAGAAAGCCUUGGGGCUAAUACCCUCGAGGAAGGACAUCACCCACAGAAGAAGCACCGGCUAACUCCGUGCCAGCAGCCGCGGUAAUACGGAGGGUGCGAGCGUUAAUCGGAAUUACUGGGCGUAAAGCGCGCGUAGGCGGUCUGAUAAGCCGGUUGUGAAAGCCCCGGGCUCAACAUGGGAACGGCAUCCGGAACUGUCAGGCUAGAGUGCAGGAGAGGAAGGUAGAAUUCCCGGUGUAGCGGUGAAAUGCGUAGAGAUCGGGAGGAAUACCAGUGGCGAAGGCGGCCUUCUGGACUGACACUGACGCUGAGGUGCGAAAGCGUGGGUAGCAAACAGGAUUAGAUACCCGAGUAGUC